CCUACGGGUGGCAGCAGUGGGGGAUAUUGGACAAUGGGCGAAAGCCUGACGCAGCAAUGCCGCGUGAAUGAAGAAGGUUUUCGGAUUGUAAAAUUCUGUCCUCUGGGAAGAAAAAAAUGACGGUACCAUAGGAAGAAGCCCCGGCUAACUACGUGCCAGCAGCCGCGGUAAUACGUAGGGGGCAAUCGUUGUCCGGAAUUACUGGGCGUAAAGAGAGCGUAGGCGGGACUACAAGUCUGAUGUGAAAUACCCGGGCUUAACUUGGGGGUUGCAUGGGAAACUGUAGAGCUUGAGUACAGGAGAGGCAAGCGGAAUUCCUAGUGUAGCGGUGAAAUGCAUAGAUAGUAGGAGGAACACCAGCGGCGAAGGCGGCUUGCUGGACUGAAACUGACGCUGAGGCUCGAAAGCGUGGGGAGCAAACAGGAUUAGAUACCCUAGUAGUC
rnacentral:rRNA from 1 species